UACGUAGGGUGCAAGCGUUGUCCGGAAUUAUUGGGCGUAAAGAGCUCGUAGGCGGUCUGUCGCGUCGGAUGUGAAAACCCAGGGCUCAACCCUGGGCCUGCAUUCGAUACGGGCAGACUAGAGUGAUGUAGGGGAGACUGGAAUUCCUGGUGUAGCGGUGAAAUGCGCAGAUAUCAGGAGGAACACCGAUGGCGAAGGCAGGUCUCUGGGCAUUAACUGACGCUGAGGCGCGAAAGCUAGGGGAGCAAACGGG
rnacentral:rRNA from 1 species